rnacentral:rRNA from 1 species
UACGUAGGGGGCGAGCGUUGUCCGGAAUUAUUGGGCGUAAAGAGCUCGUAGGCGGUUUGUCACGUCUGCUGUGAAAACUGGAGGCUCAACCUCCAGCCUGCAGUGGGUACGGGCAGACUAGAGUGCGGUAGGGGAGAUUGGAAUUCCUGGUGUAGCGGUGGAAUGCGCAGAUAUCAGGAGGAACACCGGUGGCGAAGGCGGAUCUCUGGGCCUGUCCUGACGCUCAGGCGCGAAAGCUAGGGGAGCAAACAGG